rnacentral:tRNA from 1 species
GGAGGGAUGGCCGAGUGGCUUAAGGCGCCGGUCUUGAAAACCGGAGGGCGGAAACGCUCCGUGGGUUCGAAUCCUACUCCCUCCGCCA